rnacentral:lncRNA from 1 species
AUGAACGCCAUGCCGUGCGUGCGGAAGUGGGUCUUGAGGUUGAGAGGGCUGUCACAGCUCUUGCCGCAGACCUUGCAGGAGUCAGAAGACUGGCGGCGUUUCCGUCCUGGCCCCUGGAAAAGAACAGAAGAAUGGUUUCGCCGUCACCCUCAGUCUCUGCCAGCCUUGCCCACUGCCACAGCUGGCACACAGCAGGCUGGGGCUCUGCCUACCUGGGCUCUGGCCCCGGGGCCCCGAGCCAGGGUGCUCCCUCUGCCAGGGGACUGGGCCCCGAGCAGCAGGCCGUGCCGGACCUGCACGUGUUUCUCCAGGAUCAGGCGGCUGCUGAAGGUGCGCUUUCCCUCUGUGCAGUACCUGCAAGGGAGGGGCAGGUGGCCCCGGUGGUGGCACCGCACAGAGGCCGACCGGGCAGAGGGGCCUGGGCCUUCAGACCCCAGAGAGAAGCGGUGGGGAGGGUGGGUGCACCUAGCAGACAGGAAGGGAACAGGAGCAGGGUUACCUGCAGGGGUAAACUCGCUUGAUGCCCUCGUGAUUGACCCUGACGUGGCGCCUCAGGCUGGGGGCGGAGCAGAACGAGCGCUCACACAGGCGACAGGGGAACUUCUUCACUGACUGCAGGCAGGGGUGGGGAGGCUCAGAGGCAGCUCUGGGAUGCCGUCCCCAGGGACACGCAGGUCACCCUGCGGAGAGCACUCACCUUGCCGUGCUCCUUCUUCAUGUGGGCCACAUACUCGUCACGCUCAGGGAACCAGGAGUGACAGAGGCCACAGGUCCAGCCCCCGGGCCCACCGCCCACCCCCACGCCUUUGCUCCCCAGCUCCCGCCGGGGCCGCUUGGCUGGGCACCUCCUCCUCCUCUGAGGACGACAAUGACUCCUCAGUUGCAGGGGCCGCCCCUCCCUGAGACACGGCCAGCUCCUCAGGCUCAGUCUUGGGGGUCGGGAGGGCAUCUCCAGCCCCCUUCUCAGGGGCCUCCUUCUCUAGGCGCCCAGACUGAUGGGUGCUCUUGAGAUGCUCCAGCAUGGUCCUCUUCUGGGCAAAGAGCAGGGGGCAAGACGGGCACUUGAAGACACUGACGCGCUGGGGCAGCUAGUGCUGGUCGAAGUGUGAGGAGAGCAGGGGUUUGUGCGUGAAGACGGUGUCACACAUGGCGCACUUGUAGAUCAGCUUCGCUUGCUGCGUGAGGAAGGUCAGAUGCUGGGAGUAGACGUGGGCGUGGGCGCUGGGUGCAGACUUGAAGGCCGUGGGGCAGAUGGGGCACUUGUGGAAAACUUCGUAGUGUGACGUGUGGAUGUGGGACUAAAUGGAGUUCACACCCCCGAACACCACUGCGAAGCUGGGACCCCUGUAUCCCACACGCCGAGAGAAAUGCAGACAGGCUUCCCGCAGGGGUGUCUGGAAAUUGGCUUGCAGGAAGUUGCCCCCACACUCGGGGCAGACGUGGGGGGCUCGGUUCUUAUGCGUGCGCUGGUGGGCGCUGAAGCUGCAGCGAUUGGGGAGCAUCAUGGGGCAGGAUGGGCACACAUUGCUGCUGGCCCCGGGGUCUGGGGGCCCAGGCUGCUGGAAGUGGGCUGCCAUGCCAGCCUUGUCCCGGCACUGCUGCUUGCACUCCAGGCAGUGGAAGCACGUGUAGAGGGUGGCAGGGGCAGCAGGUGGAUCUGUCGAUAGUGGCAGCACAGGGGCCUCAGCGGCAACUGCAGCAAGGGCAGAGCUCACGGCCCCCUCAGCCUUGUCCAAGAUGGGCAAGACCAGAGGUCCAGGAGCAGGCAGCACAGCCACAGGCAGCAGGGGCGUAAUGUCCGGCUGCCCCACCAUCUGGUCAAGGGCCACGGACCUCAUGACCAAGUGUGAGCACUGCAUGACAAGCCCCUUGUCCUUGUGCU